CAGGAUCCGCUGCCGCCACGAGGCGCGGCGCACUCCGGGCCGCCAUGAGAAGCUCCUGUGUUUUGCCAGCCGAGGAGGUGCCCAAAUGAGGCUCCGAAGGGAAGCGCGUUGCUCUGCUCUGUGCUGUGGGAAGGGUCUCCAGG